UUUUUGUUUAUUUAUUAGUAGAAAAUUAAUUUUAAAAAAAUAUUUUGCUUCGUAAGAAAAAAUUUUUAUUUUUCAAAGAUUUUUUAUGGAAACAAAUAUUUUGAAAAAAGAUUAAUGACAAGACCAAAAAAUAAAUUGACGAAAAAAUUUAUUGAUCGAAUAAAAUCAAAAGUCAUGGUACAGAAUUUCAACAAAAAAAAUGUAAUUAAUUCUUAUGAAAAGAAGGAAAAAUUAAUUCAUUCUGACGAUAAUAGUGAAAAGAAUAAAUUAAUAUUAAGUGAAAAUGUAUCACUGCAAAUAGUGAAAAAAAAUGAUAAUCAAUUUUUACUAUCAAUAAGCAAAGUGACUGCAUUACUUUUAUAUUUACAUUUUUUGCUAUCCUAUUUUUUGUCAUUUUCAAUAAGUCAACAAUAUAGGGAAUUAUUUGGAUGUUGUGAUAUUUUAAAAAUUGGAGAUUGAAAUUAAGGAACGAAUGGAAAUAUCAGUUUUCAGUUGAAUUUCCUUUAAUUGAACUUGUGAGGUGAUUUUAUAAUUUCGAAGAAAAUUUGCAAUUAUUGUUUUUAAACUCAUCAUAGCGAAUCGUUGACCUUUAUUAUAAAAAAA